UCUGACAGGAAGUUGAGGAUUAGCAAGAAAAAAAAUGGCUGUUGCUAGUAACUGGAUUUUCCUCUCUUCCGUUUUCUGUUACCCACUUGAAAAUGAAGUGUUCUUGAUAAGAAAGAUAUCCACAUGCAGAUUUUUGCAUUCCAAGAAUUGCUUAAAAAUGGGUGGGAUCAUUUGUAAGCUACCGGAUAGUGGCCUCGAGGAAAACCCCAUUAGAAAAGAUGUGUCAUUGAGCUCGAGGAACAGGAUGGAGGAGUACAAUAUAGCCAUGAAAGGGAUGAUGUUCUUGAUGUUUUUGUUUCAUUGCCACUUUAGAUUUAUUUCUCCUUUUUCAAAUUUCAUUUGGUGCAUUGAGAACAAGGCAAACACAUAAAUAGGCAAUGACAUAGAGGCUGUGUUUGGGAGAGAGAGAUGUGGGUGUCUUCUGUUUUUCUUCCCUUUGAUAUGAGCAAAUUUCUGCGCAAAAUUUUGCUUUGCUGUUAAUUAUUACAGAUGAUAGUGUUAGCUGUAUUCUAUGGCAAUCUGAUACCAAUCAAUGUUGAUGAUUUUCAAUCCGAAUUCUGCGGCAGAGAAAACUGGAGUAAUAAUUAGACAAUGAGAGACUUUAUUAGGUUAUUUUGGAAUAUUUGGUCUGUGUUUUAAUCUAUUUGCAUUGGAAUUGAUGAAGGAAUCUUUAAUUUAUUAAUUUAAGCUGGAUCUGGAUCUAGAUAGUAUCCUUGUGAACUUGUUUUUAUUUUAUAUUAUCUGAUGUAGAUUGCAAUGCCUAACAUGGGUAAAGGAUCUACCUUUCUGUGAACCUUUUUCAUGUUUUAUGUUUUUAAUGGAGUUGACCCUUUUAAUAUAUCACAUUGGUUUGAUAUUGGAGUAAUAUGCCUCUUACAAGGAUUUGGGCACUCUUCCUACUUAAGCUACUUUUUGAUAGUGAGUUAGACUUGGCCUAUUUUCUUAAGAGACCUGCUCCUAGAUACUAGUGUCAAUUUAAAGUUCUUGUUCAAAAGGUUAAACAAAAAGGCUUAAGUUCUGGUAAAAAUCACAGGGAUUCGCAAAGGAAACCCCAUAUGUCAAAAUUGAUGAGAAAGUAGGAGAGCUUGAUGUGAAAGUAUUGUGUUUUUUUGUACAGUUUUAAGAUAUGGAAUCCAUAUGCAGAUAAAAGGCUUCAUAUAGUUUAGCUUUGGUUCAAAUUUUAAAGAUGGAAUAAUUAUUCCAUGGAAUAGCUAUUUCACAACCUCAGUUUUUGGUUAAUGUAAAAUUAUAAUAAUUAAUUAUUAUAUAAAAUGGACAUUCCCCUAAUCUGUAGAAUUAGAUCUCCACAUAUUAGUCAAGAAUAACUAUUCCAUGGCCAUGGAAUAAUAUUUGCUUAUCACUAAUUUCCUAUGGAUACUUAACUAGGUCUGCUUUAUGCAUAGAAAUCAAAACCAUUUGGAAAAAGUUUUGAAUUCUACCAUUAUAAUCCCAGUUUUGGCACCCUUACUCUCCAUGUGUGAAUAAACCCAAUUAACUUGCAAUGUUUUGUUGUUUUCUUAUGUUUCUCCAAUUUUCCUGACUUCAGGUAUGAACUAAACACUGAUAACCGAUAAUUUGAUUGUGGCUCCCAGCCUCAGAAACUUGAAGACAUGGAUCAUCUGAAAUAUGAAGAAAAUGUAGCCCACAUUCUAAAUUUGCAGCAGGACAAGGACAUUGAGUAUUGGGGGUGUUGACUUGCAGUCUAUAAUAAAAAGAUGUCAAGAACUUGGAAUUCAUCAUAUGAGAAGACCUGCAAGGAAACUAUUGUCAUUUCAAAUAUAGAAAAUACUCAAAAUUGCCAAAUUUUGAAUGAGCCAAAGAUUUUGAUCCAGAUUCCUUAAGAAGUAUGUUAGCUAAGGCAGUCUCAUCAUUGGAAUGGGCCAUUUCCUAGGGGAAAGGCGGAGUGUAUGUGCAUUGCACCGCCGGACUGGGAAGAGCCCCUGCUAUUGCAAUCGGUUACAUGUUCUGGUUUCGGGGCAUGAAUCUGAACACAGCAUAUGAUAAACUAACUUCAAAAUGACCUUGUGGACCCAAUAAAACAUCAAUACGAGGAGCAACUUAUGAUCUUGCCAAGAAUGAUCAAUGGAAGGAGCCAUUUGAGAAUCUUCCGGAACAUUCUUUUGAAGAUAUAGCAGAUUGGGAUAGGAACUUGAUUCAUGCCCAUGUUCAUUCCCUCCAUGGAACUUGAACAUUCAGGUAAGCAUUUGUCAUCUAGCAUUUGUUUUUUUUUUUUUAAAUUCUCAGGGCUGAUCUCUCUUGGGGAUUUUUGACCCCUACCAUUAGUAUACAUAUUGAAAAAUGCAGCAGCGAGCUAACUGUUCUGCAUUACACCAUAGAAAUGUUAAACAAUUCUUUUCUGAUAAUUUAGUUUGGUAGUGUCAAUCCUAGCAUUGAACUCCAUCAGAACAAAUUUUAAACCAAUUAUCUUCAACACCAAAAGAACAAAAGAGUAAACCAUAAGUAUUAUACAAAGAUACUGCUUAAAUCCAAUAGUUCUACAUUUCAAUUCUGAAGUGUGAUUAAUUGAUUAUCGCGGUCAUGAGCUUGAACAUGCUUUAGACUAGUGAAAUUUCUACACAUGUAAAAUGUCUGAAAUUCUUUUCAAUUCAGCUACAGCUUAUCCCAGGCACCACAAUCCCCCACAGUAGAUAAAAUGAGAAGCAAUAAAAUCAAACGCAUAGCUUCCAAUACCAACUUCUCUUGCUUGUUGGUUCUUAUGUCAUUUCAUUUCUUGGAUACUACUUUGUUGCAUGUCUCCUUGCG